UACGUAGGGGGCAAGCGUUGUCCGGAUUUAUUGGGCGUAAAGAGCUCGUAGGCGGCUCGUCGCGUCAGCUGUGAAAUUCCGUGGCUUAACUGCGGGCUUGCAGCUGAUACGGGCAGGCUAGAGGCAGGUAGGGGAGAACGGAAUUCCCGGUGUAGCGGUGAAAUGCGCAGAUAUCAGGAGGAACACCGGUGGCGAAGGCGGCAUCCUGGACCGACAUUGACACUGAACGGCGAAAGCUAGGGGAGCAAACGGG
rnacentral:rRNA from 1 species